GACGAACCGUGCGAACGUUGUUCGGAAUCACUGGGCUUAAAGGGCGCGUAGGCGGGCUCGUAAGUUCGGGGUGAAAGCCCGCGGCUCAACCGCGGAAGCGCCUCGGAUACUGCGGGCCUGGAGGGAGGUAGGGGCGUGCGGAACUUCCGGUGGAGCGGUGAAAUGCGUAGAUAUCGGAAGGAACACCGGUGGCGAAAGCGGCGCGCUGGACCUCUUCUGACGCUGAGGCGCGAAAGCCAGGGGAGCAAACGGG
rnacentral:rRNA from 1 species